rnacentral:lncRNA from 1 species
GUAAGCCCCAGACACAGGCCCUGUUGUUUGUUGGUGAUCAUUUAAGGCUCACCUUUCCCCUGCUCCUCACACCGGGGACAUGUCCUCCCAGUCCCCCAGGGCUGCUCUGUGCAGCUCAGGGAUACAUUAGUGAAAAGGCAGCAACUCUUUCCUGAGGGGGUUUAUGCUCCUUACAUCAUGCACAUUUUAUCAAAUUUGCACCUUCCUUGUGUGCUCCUCAGAGCAUCAUUGUAUGGAUGAACAAAUGGGGGUCCACAGGGAGCUGAACAUCCCUCCUUGAAGUUCCUCCUCCAGCCUCUGGGCCACAGGCACUGGGUUUUCCUUCCUGACCACCACCCGUUGUCAGCGUCCUUCCAGACUCCUUCUCCUUCAAUGACAAAUCAAGAUGUUGUGACGCGACCAUUUUAACGCUUUCUUCCCUCUAUGGUGCACGAAUGGCAUAGACAUUACAAAGCACAAAAUUGAUUGGACUUAGAAGGGAGAGUUGGAAUCGCAACAGCUUCCACAGUCCUGACCACAGCAAUUCUAAAAAGUCAGAGAACAUUUUCUGACAACUUUCUGAGAGAUUAGAAAACAAAUGCAAACUAUCAGUAUUUAUUGUACUCAUAUUUCACAGAAAUCACAAACACAAAAUAAAUAUGCCAAUGGUUAAAACUGCAAACAGACACAUUUAAUAAAGAUGAAAAUUAAGAGUUCUACCUUCACCAUGGUGAAGUCCUAACGCCACCAUUUCCCGAAUCUUCAUUUUUAUGCAGCCAGGUCUCUGAUCACUACCUCCUACUUUUCUUGGUCUCUUGCUGCAUUACUACAAUACCCACUUUUUUUUUUUUUUGAGACAGGGUCUUGCUCUGUCACCCAGGCAGGAAUGUAGUGGUGCAAUCUCAGCUCACUGUAACCUCUGCCUCCUAGGUUCAAGCAAUUCUCCCACUUCAUUCCUCAGAGUAGUUGGACUAUAGAUGUGUGCCACCACACCUGGCUAAUGUUUUUAUUUUUUGUAGAGACAGGGUUUCAUCAUGUUGCUCAGCCUGGUCUCAAACUCCUGAGCUCAAGCAAUCCACUCACCUCAGCCUCCCAAAGUGCUGGGAUUACAGGCGUGAGCCACUGUGUCAAGCCUUUUUUUUUUUUUUUAACUCCAUAAGAAAUGUGCUUCAAUUACUAUUACUGUGUAACAAAUUAUCCUCAAAUUUAGUGGAUUAAAACAAUUAAGUUGUUAUUUACAAUUGUUUGUUUUGAGGGUGGAAAUUCAGGAAGGACUCCAAUGGGAAGUUCUUGCCUGGGUCUCUUUUGAGGUUUGGUUGCAGUUGGAGGUAAGCCUGGCUCGAGGUCUGAGAUGGUUCAUUCAGAAGGUUGGCAGUGGAUGCUGAGUGUGAGCUGGGGGCUCUGCUGCGGCUGUCACCAGCAUAUCCACUGGGCUCUCCUGCAUCGUGGUCUCAGGGUAGUUUCUUUUCUUUUCUUUUUUUUUUUGGAGACAAGAGUCUCGCUCUGUCACCCAGGUUGGAGUGCAGUGGUGUGAUCUUGGCUCACUGCAACCUCCACCUCCUGGGUUCAAGUGAUUCUCCUACCUCAGCCUCCCGAGUAGCUGGGAUUAUAGGUGCCUGCCAGCACGCCCAGCUCAUUUUUUUUUUGUAUUUUUAGUAGAGGCGGGUCUUCGCCAUGUUGGCCAGGCUGGUCUGGAACUCCUGACCUCAGGUGAUCCGCCCACCUCGGCCUCCCAAAAUGCUAGGACUACAGGCGUGAGCCACCGCACCCAGCCAAGGGUAGAGUUUCUACAUGAUGGCUGGUUCCCAUCAGAGUAAGGAUCCUUGGAGGGCAUGCCCUUUUCUGGUCUAACCUUGUAAGUCCUACAGCAUCACUGCUGCUGUGACUAUUGGCCAAAGCAGUUGCAAGCCUACCCAGCUUCAAGAGGGGGGUCACAGACCCUACCCCUCCAUGGGAAGAGUGUCAAAGAACUUAGGAGCUGUGUCAUAAAACCACUGCAAAUCUGCAGUCCAUGUGUCAUGAAACCACCACAAACCUCCAGUCCAUGUGUCAUAAAACCACUGCAAAUCUCCAGUCCACGUGUCAUGAAACCACCACAAACCUCCAGUCCACUGAACCUCGCUCUUUCCUCAAUGUCCACUCAAGUUUCUUACCUGACAUUAACCCUCUCAAUCGUCAACUUGUCCUUCUCUUCUGGAUCAUUUCCAUCAGCAAACAAGCAUAACCUAUGUUAAAGAAAAUGGUAAUUCUCACCUGAUGGUACAGGACAUCCAAAAUCAUGGCAUUUACAACAUUGUUAUGCCUUAAUGAAAGUGACAGUAGGCCUCUUACACCCACAAACUUGUCAUCUUGGAACUCCCAGCAUAAUUACCUAAUUUGAUUAACAAAAACUGUCUUUUUUUUUUUUUUUUUUUUUUUUGAGAUAGGGUCUCACUCUGUCACCCAGGCUGAAGUGCAGGGAUGUGAUCUUGGCUCACUGCAACCUCCGCCUCCUAAGCUCAAGCAAACCUCUCACCUCAGUCUCCCAAGUAGCUAGGACUACAGGCACCCGCCACCAUGCCUGGCUAAUUUUUGGUUUUUUUUUUUUUUUUUUUUUUUUUUGUAGAGACAAGGUUUCACCAUGUUUUCCAGGCUGGUCUCCAACUCCUGGGCUCAAGUGAUCCACCCGCUUCGGCCUCCCAAUGUGCUGGGAUUACAGGCGUGAGCCACCAUGUGCAGCCUCAAAAGCUGUCUUCAUCCUCUGGAUCUAAUAGCUAAGUUCUAAGUACAAUCUUGCUACACGGGCCGCAGGAUAAGAGACCGGGCAGCUGGCAGGAUGGCACUUCUUCCCUCCCCUGCCUCACUUUCUCACCCACCCACCUUAUUUCCUGCAGCUUCAAACAAACUCCUUGCAUGUGAAUCCUCGUUUUAGCUACUUCUUCUGAAGGAAUCCAAUCUAAGGCAUCCUGCUAAUUGUGACACUCACACUUAAAUUAUCAAAUCGUAAAGUUAAUCAAUAGUUUUACCCUUUUCCUGAACAAUACAAGGACCCGAGAAGUAUUUAACUCUGUUUACUCCAGUCCCAACUUAAAUUUUAUUAUUAUGCAUUUUAAUAUUCUUUAUUUUUCCUUUUUUUUUUUUCUGGUUUUUUAGACAGAGUCUCACUGUCACGCAGGCUGGAGUGCAGUGGCAUGAUCUUGGCUCACUGCAGCCUCGACCUCCCGGGCUCAAGCAAUCCUCCUGCCUCAGCCUCCCAAAGCACUGGGAUUAUAGGUGUGAGCCACUGUGCCUGGCUAUUAUUUUUCUUUUCAAGACCCAUAGGAAUUGUUAUUGUUGCUUUAAGCCAUUGAUGUUUACUAGAUUUACCCAAAUGUUACCUCUUUCUAUAUCCUUCAUUCCUUCUUCCUUGUCAGAUCACCCUGUGAUACCAAUUCCUUACACCUUUUAAAUGUUUCUUUAAUGAGAAUCUUCCGUAGUAAACUCAGUUUGUCCGAAAAUGUCUUCAUUUUGUCCUGGUUCCUGAAAGAUAUUUUUACAGGAUACAGAAUUCUGGGUCAUUAGUUUCCAUUAUCACCUCGAAGGUCUCGUCCAUUGUCCUCCUCUGGCUUUCCUUGUCGCUAGAAAACAUCAUCUCUCAGUCACUCCCUUGAAGGUCAUUUUCCAUGCAUCUCCAGCUGCAUUUAGGACGCUUUUGUCUUUGGUGUUCUGAAGUUUCAAUGUGGUCUAUCUAGGUGUGGGUUUAUUUUGUAUUUUUUUCUGCAUGAGGUUCUCAAUUAUAUAAAUUUAUAUGAAUUUCUCAAUUAUGUGACUUUCAUUAGUUUAGAAAUUUCAUAGCCAUUAUCUCUUCAAAUAUUUCCUCUGCUCCAUUCCAUCUCUUCUCCUUCUGGCACUCUAAUUAGGCUCAUGUUGGAUUUUCCUAUUCUAGCCUUUAUGUCUCUUAACCCUUUUUCCAGGUUUUCCAAAUCUAUGUCUUUCCAGGCAGCAUUCUGUAUACUGUAUUCAUAUUUAUCUUUUAGCUCAUGAAGUCUCGCUUUGGUUAUUUAUAAUCUUCUGUUAAACAUGCAUACUAAGUUUUUAAUUUAGUUGAAAUUAAAAUUCAACUAAAAUUUGAACUAAAUUAAAACUUUCCUUUUAGAACUUCCAUUUGGUUCUUUUCAAACUGCUUGACUAUUCUUUAUAGUUUUGUGGGUUUUGCACACAUUUUCUUUCUUUUUCUUUUCUUUAGAGACAGGGUCUCACUGUGUUGCACAGGCUGGAGUGCAGCGGCAUGAUCACGGCUCACUGUAGCCUCAACCUCCCAUGCUCACGUGAUUCUCUCACCUCCCAAGCACCUGGGACUACAGGUGCAUACCACCGUUUCUGGCUAAUUUUUUAUUUUUUUGUAGAGACAGGGUCUCACUAUUUGCCUAGGCUGGUCUUGAAUGCCUGGGCUCAAGAAUUCUUCAGCCUUGGCUUCCCAAAGUGCUGGGAUUAUAGGCAUGAGCCACCAUGCCCAGCCUUAAGACAUAUGCAGAUGUAAAACAUAACAAC